AUCUCUCAAUCUCUCUCCCUCUCUCGAUCUCUCAAUCUCUCAAUCUCUCUCUCACACACUAUCUCGCUCUCUUUGUAUUUGCGUACACAUUAUCUACUCUCUCUCUGCAAUUUGCGCGAUUCGUCGCAGAGAAACCCUAAGUCUACCAUGGAAAAGUUCUCUCGGAGCACUCAAAUGCAGCAGAUUGGUUUGAGAAAAUCAUCGUAAAACUUUGUGGCUAUUGCUAGUGGUGAUGCCUCUGAGGCCUUUAUACAAGCAUUACAAGAGAAGAAAAUACACAAUUGGAAUAGGUUGUCUGCCAUGGCUGUUGAACAGAUUGUAAUGACAGAGUGAUCCAUUCUACAGGU